rnacentral:rRNA from 1 species
ACUCAAAGGAAUUGACGGGGGCCCGCACAAGCGGUGGAGCAUGUGGUUUAAUUCGACGCAACGCGAAGAACCUUACCCGGGCUUGACAUGCACGGGCAAGCCUCGAGAAACCGAGGCCCCUCUUCGGAGUCCGUGCACAGGUGCUGCAUGGCUGUCGUCAGCUCGUGUCGUGAGAUGUUGGGUUAAGUCCCGCAACGAGCGCAACCCCCGCGUCCAGUUGCUAGCAGCGGCCCUCCUUGGUAACAGGGAGAUCAGCCGGCUGAGGACUCUGGGCGGACUGCCGGUGCCAAACCGGAGGAGGGUGGGGACGACGUCAAGUCAUCAUGGCCCUUACGUCCGGGGCUACACACGUGCUACAAUGGGUCGUACAGCGGGUCCGUGCAAAGGGGCGACCCGGAGCCAAUCCCUGAAAGCGACCCCCAGUUCGGAUUGGAGGCUGCAACCCGCCUCCAUGAAGCCGGAAUCGCUAGUAAUCGCGGAUCAGCCACGCCGCGGUGAAUACGUUCCCGGGCCUUGUACACACCGCCCGU